UGUAGCUUAGUGGUAGAGUGCUUGCCUAGCAUGCAUGAAGCCCUGGGUUCAAGUCCUCAGCA
rnacentral:tRNA from 1 species